GUCGAGUUUCUUUGAGAGGUACAAGGCCGAUUAUAAGUCUAGUUCGGUAAGUCACAUUCGAUGAAUUUGAUUUUUUUUGGGUCAAAAUCUGGGGACCAAAUGUAUAUUUUUAGCUGCAUUAAAAUAUUCGGAUUUUUACUCUACAUUAAUCUACAAGAAAGUGUUGCUUUCUACUUUUACAAUUUUAAUCAUGAUUUUCUCCCUUUCUAACCUUUCCUUCAUAUCAAGUUCUGUCUGUCAUAAUGCAAAUUCGUCUUCUUUUUCUACUUGUUUUAAUCUAACUUUGUUCAUGUUCUAAUUCAAGCUGUGUUAAUGUUAUAGAGUCAAUGUUUUCGACCUUAACUUCAAGUGCCUUUAACUUAUAGCUAUAAAAAAACACAAAUCAAUAUACAAUGUAAUGAAAUGUAACCAGAUUUAUUAUACAAUUUUACAAAAAAGUUAUACAAAAAGAAGUGUCAACUUAACUGUAAAAAAUAUCUGUCCAAUCCUUUGAUUUUUCUUUAUCCAGAAUUCUUGUCUUAAAUCUUACAGAAUAUAUCCAAUAUAAAGUUCACUAGUAUGAUGUAAUUGAUGUCUGUUAGUCUAAUUCGGUAUCUGUGUAUAAAUAUAGUUAUCAAGAAAACUUCUAGAACACUGUUAAAGAGACUCUGCAGAAUGGAAAGUUCGAGAAUAUUACAUAAGAUAAAAUUACUCAUUCAUUAACUAUGAUCAUUCAGACGUUGUUUUGUAAGUCAAAUAGAAAGUUCCAAUCAUUCCAUCAGUAUCUAUGUUUGUUCCCCAGUGAUUUCUUAACUGCACAAUAAUAACAUAUGAAAUAACUAUUUAAAGGUCUUAAGGCUAUACAAAACAAAUUAGGCCAAGAUAAAUUAACAUGACAAUAACAA
rnacentral:lncRNA from 1 species